rnacentral:rRNA from 1 species
CGCAGUAGGAUAGGCGAAGCGUGCGAUUGGAUUGCACGUCUAAGCAGUAAGGCUGAGUAUUAGGCAAAUCCGGUACUCGUUAAGGCUGAGCUGUGAUGGGGAGAAGACAUUGUGUCUUCGAGUCGUUGAUUUCACACUGCCGAGAAAAGCCUCUAGAUAGAAAAUAGGUGCCCGUACCGCAAACCGACACAGGUAGUCAAGAUGAGAAUUCUAAGGUGAGCGAGCGAACUCUCGUUAAGGAACUCGGCAAAAUGACCCCGUAACUUCGGGAGAAGGGGUGCUCUUUAGGGUUAACGCCCAGAAGAGCCGCAGUGAAUAGGCCCAAGCGACUGUUUAUCAAAAACACAGGUCUCUGCUAAACCGUAAGGUGAUGUAUAGGGGCUGACGCCUGCCCGGUGCUGGAAGGUUAAGAGGAGUGGUUAGCUUCUGCGAAGCUACGAAUCGAAGCCCCAGUAAACGGCGGCCGUAACUAUAACGGUCCUAAGGUAGCGAAAUUCCUUGUCGGGUAAGUUCCGACCCGCACGAAAGGCGUAACGAUUUGGGCACUGUCUCAACGAGAGACUCGGUGAAAUCAUAGUACCUGUGAAGAUGCAGGUUACCCGCGACAGGACGGAAAGACCCCGUGGAGCUUUACUGUAGCCUGAUAUUGAAAUUCGGCACAGCUUGUACAGGAUAGGUA